rfam:Triticum aestivum genome assembly, contig: Triticum_aestivum_CS42_TGACv1_scaffold_485580_6AS
GGGCAAUCAUGAUAAAUUUAAGGCUUGUUUCUCAAAACAUUCGCAGUUGCAGCCUAAGAGCUUUUGCCUUGCCAGGCUUGAGAGCUGAUGCUGCUGAUUCCUUCCUUGGAUGUCUGAGCCU